rnacentral:rRNA from 1 species
AUUGAACGCUGGCGGCAGGCCUAACACAUGCAAGUCGAGCGAGCGGCGGACGGGUGAGUAAUGUCUGGGAAACUGCCUGAUGGAGGGGGAUAACUACUGGAAACGGUAGCUAAUACCGCAUACCAUCAGAUUUGCCCAGAUGGGAUUAGCUAGUAGGUGGGGUAACGGCUCACCUAGGCGACGAUCCCGAGCUGGUUUGUGAGGAUGACCAGCCACACUGGAACGGAGACACGGUCCAGAAUCCUACGGGAGGCAGCAGUGGGGAAUAUUGCACAAUGGGCGCAAGCCUGAUGCAGCCAUGCGGCGUGUGUGAAGAAGGCCUUCGGGUUGUAAAGCACUUUCAGCGGGGAGGCGUUACCCGCAGAAGAAGCACCGGCUAACUCCGUGCCAGCAGCCGCGGUAAUAC